rnacentral:rRNA from 1 species
GACGAACGCUGGCGGCGUGCUUAACACAUGCAAGUCGAACGGAAAGGCCCUGCUUUUGUGGGGUGCUCGAGUGGCGAACGGGUGAGUAACACGUGAGUAACCUGCCCUUGACUUUGGGAUAACUUCAGGAAACUGGGGCUAAUACCGGAUAGGAGCUCCUGCUGCAUGGUGGGGGUUGGAAAGUUUCGGCGGUUGGGGAUGGACUCGGGGCUUAUCAGCUUGUUGGUGGGGUAGUGGCUUACCAAGGGUUUGACGGGUAGCCGGCCUGGGAGGGUGACCGGCCACAUGGGGACUGAGAUACGGCCCAGACUCCUACGGGAGGCAGCAGUGGGGAAUAUUGCACAAUGGGCGGAAGCCUGAUGCAGCAACGCCGCGUGCGGGAUGACGGCCUUCGGGUUGUAAACCGCUUUCGCCUGUGACGAAGCGUGAGUGACGGUAAUGGGUAAAGAAGCACCGGCUAACUACGUG